AGAGGCGUAGCUCAAUGGUAGAGCCGCAGACUUUGGAUCUGCUGGUUGCACGUUCGAGCCGUGCCGCCUCUG
rnacentral:tRNA from 1 species